AAUCGGCGCUAAUACCUCAUAAUGCAGCGGAUCCGCAUGGAUAUGUUGUUAAAGGUUUACCGCCUUCGGGAUAGGCUUGCGUCUGAUUAGCUAGUUGGUGUGGUAACGGCACACCAAGGCUACGAUCAGUAACUGGUCUGAGAGGAUGAUCAGUCACACUGGAACUGAGACACGGUCCAGACUCCUACGGAGGCAGCAGUGAGGAAUAUUUGGGCAAUGCUCGAAAGAGUGACCCAGCAACGCCGCGUGGAGGAUGAAGGUAUUCUAUAUCGUAACUACCUGUGAGAGCAGACGAAAGACAGAUUAUUAAUCUGGAUGACUGUAUGCUCAGAGGAAGCCCCGGCUAACUACGUG
rnacentral:rRNA from 1 species